UACAGAGGUCCCGAGCGUUGUUCGGAUUUAUUGGGCGUAAAGGGUGCGUAGGCGGCGGAGUAAGUUGGGUGUGAAAUCCCGGGGCUUAACCUCGGAAUGGCAUUCAAUACUGCUUCGCUCGAGUACUGGAGAGGAGGCUGGAAUUUACGGUGUAGCAGUGAAAUGCGUAGAUAUCGUAAGGAAGGCCAGUGGCGAAAGCGAGCCUCUGGACAGUUACUGACGCUGAUGCACGAAGGCCAGGGGAGCAAACGGG
rnacentral:rRNA from 1 species